UACGUAGGGUGCAAGCGUUAAUCGGAAUUACUGGGCGUAAAGCGCACGCAGGCGGUCUGCCAAGUCGGAUGUGAAAUCCCCGGGCUUAACCUGGGAACUGCAUCCGAAACUGGCAGGCUAGAGUCUUGUAGAGGGGGGCAGAAUUCCAUGUGUAGCGGUGAAAUGCGUAGAGAUGUGGAGGAAUACCGGUGGCGAAGGCGGCCCCCCUGGACAAAGACUGACGCUCAGGUGCGAAAGCGUGGGGAGCAAACAGG
rnacentral:rRNA from 1 species